GCCUCCGUAGCUCAACUGGUAGAGCAGCGGACUCUUAAUCCGUUGGUUCGGGGUUCGAGUCCCUGCGGGGGUA
rnacentral:tRNA from 1 species